CCCUUGAUGGUCUAGUUGGUUAUGGCGUCCGGCUGUAAACCGGAAAAUCCCUGGUUCGAUUCCGGGUCGAGGGA